ensembl:lncRNA
AUGGGAAGAGGGCAGGGCAGAAAGGGGGCGGGGCUUCAUGGAGGGGGCGUGGGCCAUGGGUCAUUGAGUUCCAUUAUGUCAAUGGCAGCCAUGGGGUGGGGGCGUGGCUUAAACGAAGGGGGAGUUGGCUUAACGAAGGGGCGGUGGCCUAUGGGUACAUUGGUUCCAUUAUGUCAGGCCGGCCAAUGGGGGAGGGGCGUGGGCUUAAUGUGGGCGUGGCUUAAUGAAGGGGGCGUGGCCUGUGGGUCCUUGGGUUCCAUUAUGGUAAUGGCGGCCAAUGGGGUGGGGGCGUGGCCUAUGGGGGGGUGGCUUAAUGAAGGGGGGGCGAUGGUUAAUGAAGGGGCGUGGGCCUAUGGGUCCAUUGGGUUCCAUUAUGUCAAUAGAGGCCCAUGGGGUGAGGGUGGGGGGCGUGGCUUAAUGAAGGGGGCGUGGCCUAUGGGUCCAUUGAGUCCCAUUAUGUCAAUGGCGGCCAAUGGGGUGGGGGCGCGGCCUAUGGGGGGCGUGGCUUAAUGAAGGGGCGUGGCUUAAUGAAGGGGGCGUGGCAUAUGGGGGCGUGGCUUAAUGAAGGGGGCGUGGCCUAUGGCUCCAUUGAGUUCCAUUAUGUCAAUAGAGGCCAAUGGGGUGGGGGGGCGUGGCCUAUGGGGGGCGUGGCUUAAUGAAGGGGGCGUGGCCUAUGGGUCCAUUGAGUCCCAUUAUGUCAAUGGCGGCCAAUGGGGUGGGGGCGUGGCCUAUGGGGGCGUGGCUUAAUGGAGGGGGCGUGGCCUAUGGCUCCAUUGAGACGCAUUAUACUUAAUGAAGGGGGCGUGGCUUAAUUAACGAAGGGGGCGUGGCUUAUGGGUCCAUUGAGUCCCAUUAUACUUAAUGAAGGGGGCGUGGCCUAAUGAAGGGGGCGUGGCUUAAUGCCCCUUGCGUUCCCGUAUGUCGAUGGCGGCCAAUCGCUUCGCGGCUUCUAUGAGCUGCAGGGCGUUGAGCAGCGCCUUCAGAACAGCCAAUGGGAGCAGGGCUUUGCGCAUAGUAAUGAGGGCUAUUGGGGGGUUAAAGGGGAUAAAGAGUAAUAGGUCAAUAGGGUAUAGGGGGUCAUAGAACCCACAUAGAACCCCAUAGACCCCCAUAGAGCCCCAUAGAGCCCCAUAGCAACCCAUAGAGCCCCAUAGAGCCCCAUAGAACCCAUACAGUCCCAUAGAUCCCCAUAGAAACCCAUAGAGCCCCAUAGACCCCAUAGAGCCCCACAGAAUCCCAUAGAGUCCCACAGAACCCCAUAGAGACCCAUAGACCCCAUAGACCCCAUAGAGCCCCAUAGACCCCAUAGAGCCCCAUAGAGCCCCAUAGGGACCCCAUAGAACCCCAUAGAAACCCAUAGAAACCCAUAGAGCCCAUAGAGCCCCAUAGAGCCCCACAGAAUCCCAUAGAGUCCCACAGAACCCCAUAGAGCCCCAUAGACCCCAUAGAACCCCACAGACCCCAUAGAGCCCCAUAGAAUGCCAUACAGCCCCAUAGCCCCCCCAUAGAC